rnacentral:rRNA from 1 species
UGGGGAAUUUUGGACAAUGGGCGAAAGCCUGAUCCAGCAAUGCCGCGUGUGUGAAGAAGGCCUUCGGGUUGUAAAGCACUUUUGUCCGGAAAGAAAUCCUUGGCUCUAAUACAGUCGGGGGAUGACGGUACCGGAAGAAUAAGCACCGGCUAACUACGUGCCAGCAGCCGCGGUAAUACGUAGGGUGCAAGCGUUAAUCGGAAUUACUGGGCGUAAAGCGUGCGCAGGCGGUUUGCUAAGACCGAUAUGAAAUCCCCGGGCUCAACCUGGGAACUGCAUUGGUGACUGGCAGGCUAGAGUAUGGCAGAGGGGGGUAGAAUUCCACGUGUAGCAGUGAAAUGCGUAGAGAUGUGGAGGAAUACCGAUGGCGAAGGCAGCCCCCUGGGCCAAUACUGACGCUCAUGCACGAAAGCGUGGGGAGCAAACAGGAUUAGAUACCCUGGUAGUCCACGCCCUAAAACGAUGUCAACUAGUUGUUGGGGAUUCAUUUCCUUAGUAACGUAGCUAACGCGUGAAGUUGACCGCCUGGGGAGUACGGUCGCAAGAUUAAAACUCAAAUGAAUUGACGGGGUCAUA